GUUUCAAGGUUAUUUGAUUAUUUCCUGUGGGUUUUAUCUUUUAAUUAAUCAUAAAUUCAAUUAGUUUUUAUAUAAAGCAACUGAAUUUUACCGAAUUGUUUGCAAAAAUGUUGAAAGAAACCAGAGAAAACGUUGUUUUCCUCAUUUUUACGUUUGUAAUCAUAAAAUAUCGCAUUGUAAAUGGAGAAUGUUCGCCAGAUAUGCUACAAUUCAUUUAUCUGAAAGAUUGUGCACCUGAGACUCUAAUUGGACAACACAACUAUUCAGUUUACAUGGAUCGCGACUGCAGUAUAAGAUUUAACGGAUGUUUCAAGAUUCGAAAGUUUGCAAAUGAAUCCAAGGGAAAAGUUGAGACAAAAUUUGGAAGAAUGACAAUACCAAUAAAAAGCGACUUUUGUUUAGACGCGACUAAACCCAGAAAAAUCACUGGGAAAGUUCUACAGGCUGUGGAAUUAAUAUGUCCCUAUCAACCAGGUCUACUAUGUCCAAAAGGAUCAAUUAAUCUAGCAAAAGAAAUUUCACAAAUGGGCAUCAAAGGAGAAUUUACCGAACGAGUAGAAUUAAGUCAUGAAAAUGGCGAAAUAACGUGCU